GGGAGUGUGGGUGAGUAGCAAAGCCACCUGCCUGUAAAGCAGUCGCCGCAAGGCUUCGCUGGUGCAAGUCCAGCCGCUCCCACCA
rnacentral:tRNA from 2 species